GAUGAACGCUGGCGGCGUGCCUAAUACAUGCAAGUCGAGCGAACGGACGAGAAGCUUGCUUCUCUGCUGUUAGCGGCGGACGGGUGAGUAACACGUGGAUAACCUACCUAUAAGACUGGGAUAAUUUCGGGAAACCGGAGCUAAUACCGGAUGAUAUUUUGAACCGCAUGGUUCAAAAGUGAAAGACGGUCUUGCUGUCACUUAUAGAUGGAUCCGCGCUGCAUUAGCUAGUUGGUAAGGUAACGGCUUACCAAGGCAACGAUGCAUAGCCGACCUGAGAGGGUGAUCAGCCACACUGGAACUGAGACACGGUCCAGACUCCUACGGGAGGCAGCAGUAGGGAAUCUUCCGCAAUGGGCGAAAGCCUGACGGAGCAACGCCGCGUGAGUGAUGAAGGUCUUCGGAUCGUAAAACUCUGUUAUUAGGGAAGAACAUAUGUGUAAGUAACUGUGCACAUCUUGACGGUACCUAAUCAGAAAGCCACGGCUAACUUCGUG
rnacentral:rRNA from 1 species